rnacentral:rRNA from 1 species
CCUACGGGGGGCAGCAGUGGGGAAUAUUGGGCAAUGGGCGCAAGCCUGACCCAGCAACGCCGCGUGAAGGAAGUAGGCUUUCGGGUUGUAAACUUCUUUUAAGGGGGAAGAGCAGAAGACGGUACCCCUUGAAUAAGCCACGGCUAACUACGUGCCAGCAGCCGCGGUAAUACGUAGGUGGCAAGCGUUGUCCGGAUUUACUGGGUGUAAAGGGCGUGCAGCCGGAGAGUCAAGUCAGAUGUGAAAUCCACGGGCUCAACCCGUGAACUGCAUUUGAAACUGUUUCCCUUGAGUGUCGGAGAGGUGAUCGGAAUUCCUUGUGUAGCGGUGAAAUGCGUAGAUAUAAGGAAGAACACCAGUGGCGAAGGCGGAUUACUGGACGAUAACUGACGGUGAGGCGCGAAAGCGUGGGGAGCAAACAGGAUUAGAUACCCCAGUAGUC